rnacentral:lncRNA from 1 species
GGAUUGAGACAGUUCACAUAGCAACCCACAGCAAGGCAAAGGAUGCCCAUCCAACUGGCAGGGAGCGGAGGUGGACCCAAAAAGGUGGAUGUUGACUCCAAGGAGUCUCAACAGUACGCUUGUCAGUAAGAGGAGCAAGAAGAUCCUGGAUAUACUUCUCUUAGCAAAUAAAGAAGCCAUCAAAGGUAGACUCAGGGAAGUAGCGAUGAGGACCAAGGUCAGACAUAAGAAACUCACUGUGACGAGCAUUCACAAAGGCAAUGUACUUAAGAGUCGUGCAGGAUCAUGAGCACGCGUUGAAAAACGAGCCUUAUUAACCACAGAGACAACGCUCAAACCAGUCAUGAGGGGUUUGCUAAAGAGCAUAUAGAGAACGCCAAAGGCGACAAACCAUGCCGGCUGGAAAAGAAUACCCAAGUGGUGGCUACAUGUAGGAUUGUUGACAUCAAGCUGAGAGAGAGAGAGAGAGAUAGAUAGAUAGAGAGAGAGAGAGCCUAUGUUGGCAAACAGAAGCACAUCGAAAAGUGUUCCAAAAGUGGUCAUCUGGGCCAUACAGGAGCAAAUGUCUCAUCGUAGUCAUGACUAUGUUCUCACCACUAGACGUGGUUUGUAGAGCUCUAGAGUAACAUCAUAGUCUCACCCUUGUGGGCCUAGUUACAAGUAAUGAGACGAGCAAGAGGAGGAAGGGAAAUGAGAUUCCACCAGCCGGCGAGGUGAAGAGCAUUUGAUGCCAUCACAUGCUGCCAUUGUGGAUGAAAAAAAUGUCAUGAUAAGAAGUCUUCUUGUGAAGAGCACCGCAAUAACUAACCAUAGCAGUCAAUAGGCAGAAGCCGGCGAGCUCGAAAGCCAUAAGUAGGCUGAUCUGGAGCUAUGUGUUGCCAACAGAAGAAGACAUAGUAGUUGAGGGAGAUGACUCAUUAUAAGAAUCCACAACACGCGAACAAUGAGUGUAGUAAAGUCAAGGAAGAUGAGCCUAAGAAGGAACAUGCAAGACAAACUGCCAAGAGUACCUCGACUAUCGACUGGCAGGGAAGUUACAUUGACAGUAAAAACAUGAACAUGAGAAUCUAGAUGUGGAAUACGCAAGUGGUGGCUGCACGUAAAACCCCUGACAAAAUUCACCAUUAAAAAAGUCUUUGUUAACAUCAAGCCGAGACGGAGUGACGAAUAAAGGCCGCAACAAGAUGUGUGUGAACAAUUGUCGUAUGGCCCGCAUGAGCUGAAACUCUCAUCGUAAUUAGGACCAUGAUUCUACUAAAAGCCACGAGCCACAAGACGAGCUUUGUAAUGUUCAAGAGAACCAUCAGAGCGAGUCUUAACCUUGUUGACGCACCAAGUAAUGGGACGAACACGAGGAGGAAGGGACACAAUAUCCGAUGUGCUGAUGUGCUCAACAGUAGCAAUAUCCUCUACCAUGGCAAGGCGCCAUUUGGUAUGAAUAACAUCAAGAUAAGAAGUCUGCUCAAGAAAGUGGCGCCAACGUUUCAUAGCCUAAGGCGGUCCACAGGCAAAAGUGGACGAGGUCGCAAGCAAUAAGAAGGCCGAGACGGAGAAGAUGGCACAUCAGUAGAUGCAUCCACAACACAUGAACGACGUGUUUAAAAGUGAGGCAAAUGUGGAAGAAUACGAGCAAUAAUCCCCGAGAUAAGCUCAGGUUAUGGAGACAAGGAAGUCACCGGUGAUGAAGGUUUAGAAUCCCGUGAUAAGCGAAGUGAGGAAAUCAUAGGAGAUGAUGGUGCUGAAUCUGUAAUAAUUGGAGAAGCAGGAGCAGUACGAGGAAUGGAAUAGGGCUCAACGAUAGUGAUAAGAAUGUCGGGAAAAGUGAGGUAACACAUCCUCCACUAAAAAGGUCGGGGAUGAUGGUCACACGUAGCAGGGACGAGACUCACUAAAAGUCAUACCGUGAGAAAUAGUCACCCGAUGACCAACCUGAUCCCAACAACAAUAUCUCUUAUGCUCAUUGUUGUAUCCUAUGAACACUCAACAUACUAAGUAGUAAGUUUGGUACAUUGACGAGAGGCAGUAAGGGCACAUCAAACACAACCAAACAAUUGAAGCGCUGAAUAAUCUGGAAACGAUCAAAUAGACUCUUGAAAGGAGAUGACCAUGGUGGAAGUGGAGACGCAUUCAACCCAAAGGUGUGGCCUAAGAGAAGCAGUGACCAUCCAAAAGUGUGGCGGAAGAGAGAGCAGUGAAAUUGAACCUAUGAGCCGUCUCAAUAGUUGACGAUGCUUGCCCUCAGCCAUGCCAUUUCUGAGCAUGAGCACCAAGAUAAGAGAACUGAGCAAGAGCACCCUGCUCAACAAGGAUUGAGCGCAACAUCUUGGAGAUAUAUUCUCCAUCAAAGUCAUCACAGAAUACAAGAAUAGGCGGUGAGAGAUACUAUGUUGGCAAACAGAAGCCACAUCGAAAAGUGUGCCAAAAGUGGUCAUCUGGGCCAUACAGGAGCAAAUGUCUCAUCAUAGUCAUGGCUAUAUGUUCUCACCACUAGAUGAGCUUUGUAAAGCUCUAGAGAAACUUCAUAGUCUCACCCUUUCAUGUCAUCACAUGCUGCCAUUAUGGAUGAAAAAACGUCAUGAUAAGAAGUCGUCUUGCGAAGAGCACCACAAUAACUAACCAUAGCAGUCAAAAGGCAGUAGUAGGCGAGCUCGAAAGCCAUAAGUAGGCUGAUCUGGAGCUAUGUGUUGCCAACAGAAGAAUACAUAAUAAUCGAGGGAGUUGACUCAUUAGAAGAAUCCACAACACGGGAACUGUGAGUGUAGUAAAGUCAAGGAAGACGAGCAAAAGAAGGAACAUGAAAAGAGAAACUGCCAAGAGUGCAUCGACUAUCGACAGGUAGGGAAGUUACCAGGAUAAGAGAACUGAGCAAGAGCACCGUGCUCAACAAGGAUUCAAUGCAACAUCUUGGAGAUUUAUUCUCCACCAGAGUCAUCAUGGAAUACAAGAAUAGUCUUAGGGACCUUCCCCUGUGUGCCUUGGCAUCAAAACGCUUACACAUACAAGACCUCAGUACGAAAGGAAAUAAAGUAUAUCCAGGUGUGUUGAGAGAAGUCAUCUAUAAAUAUAGUACUAGCGAUGACCUCCUUUCGAGGCGAAAGGAGGUGGGCCCCAGACAUCAAAGUGAACAAGGUUGAAAGGGUUGUUGAGAUACUGUCUCGCUAUGAGCAUAAGGUAAGUAUAGCUGUUUACCAAGCCGACAACCCAGAUAGUUUAGAGACAUCAUCGGAGACUAAUCCAAGAAGACCAUGUCAAACUAAGGAUGCGAGAUGAGAGCCACACAAGUGACCCCAGGCGACGAUGGCACUUCUAAGCAUAACUGGUAAACAAGGUAACAGAGGUGGAGAGACUAGCGGCUGUAGCAGCAGAGUCACUUGAUCCAGCAUCCUACGUGCCUGUGCGCUCUCCGUUACCCGCCGAUCCGGCUUGGUGUGCUUCUCCUGUUUGCGGGUUGUGUGCCACACACUUGAUUAAGCACCCCACGUUCUCCUACAGUGCGCCCUUGACCCUGGCUUUAGGUAGCGCCGUGUCCUCAGCUUGCCGUGCAUAAUCCAGGUAUGCGCCAACUGUCCGAGCUCCUGCUCACCAUUGGUGUUGCUCGAGCGUGGGUUCUGGUGUUGCCCAUAAAGGGAACACGGGAUGUGGGAUUGAGACAGUUCACAUAGCAACCCACAGCAAGGCAAAGGAUGCCCAUCCAACUGGCAGGGAGCGGAGGUGGACCCAAAAAGGUGGAUGUUGACUCCAAGGAGUCUCAACAGUACGCUUGUCAGUAAGAGGAGCAAGAAGAUCCUGGAUAUACUUCUCUUAGCAAAUAAAGAAGCCAUCAAAGGUAGAUUCAGGGAAGUAGCGAUGAGGACCAAGGUCAGACAUAAGAAACUCACUGUGACGAGGCUUCACAAAGGCAAUGGACUUAAGAGUCGUGCAGGAUCAUGAGCACCCGUUGAAAAACGAGCGUUAUUAACCACAGAGACAACGCUCAAACCAGUCAUGAGGGGUUUGCUAAAGAGCAUAUAGAGAACGCCGAAGGUGACAAACGAUGCCGGCUGGAAAAGAAUACCCAAGUGGUGGCUACAUGUAGGCAUUGUUGACAUCAAUCUGAGAGAUAGAUAGAUAGAUAGAUAGAUAGAUAGAGGGAGAGCCUAUGUUGGCAAACAGAAGCACAUCGAAAAGUGUGCCAAUAGUGGUCAUUUGGGCCAUACAAGAGCAAAUGUCUCAUCGUAGUCAUGACUAUGUUCUCGCCACUAGACGAGCUUUGUAAAGCUCUAGAGUAACAUCAUAGUCUCACCCUUGUGGGCCUAGUUACAAGUAAUGAGACGAGCAAGAGGAGGAAGGGAAAUGAGAUUCCACUGGCCGACGAG